UCUUCGGCCAAGUACAUUCGGCUAAUAUUUACAUAUUGUGCUUUACGUGAAAUACGUCAACAGAUUGAGAACGCAAACGACAUAAUCUACCAGUGCUGCAAAAAGUUCUCCAUCUCCAUCGCCUACUGCCAAAAAGACCAACAGCAUGUACAACCGGUAAAGUAAAUGUUACCAGUGGGAGUACAAGUAGAGGACAGGCAAGCCUGGUGGCUGUGCGGGGGUCUAUAAGAAGGACUGCUUCUCCCUGCUGUCCAGUCAUCCAGUGAAGUACUUCCGCCUGGGCAUCCCCCUGCUAGACCGGGACAACCUGGGCUUGGUGCUGUUACUGCGUCCCACGGGACCCUUCAGCCCAGAGGCCUGUGUGUGUGUGGCCAACACACACCUCCUUUAAAACCCUGGGCAUGGGGACAUUAAGCUGGCCCAGCUGGCUAUGCUGCUUGCAGAAAUCAGAACAGUGUCCCGCCUCUAUGACAGCAGCUCUUGUCCCAUCGUCCUCUAUGGGGACUUUAACUCUGUGUCCCCUCUGUACAAAUUUGUUAGGGAGAGUAGCCUGGAGUACGACGGCAUUCCCAUACGCGAGAUGUUGAUGGGUGUAUCUCCAACCUGUCUGUACAGGACUUUGAAGCACAAGCUAUGGCAACUAUGAACAGUGAGUCCAGACCCAGUAUAGAGCACAGUCUGAGGCUGACGUCAACCUACUCCCACUACCUGACAGAGGACGGCAGGCCUGAGAUCACCACCUGGAGACUGCAUGAAUCAGGCCUUCAUUGUCGAAUUGCUGCAAAGAAACCACUACUAAAGGAAACCAAUAAGAAGAAGAGACUUGCUUGGGCCAAG